UUAAGUUAGGAAGGUGUGAGGGAAAUGGGUUUAAAGGCAGAUUAAGUUAGGAAGGUGUGAGGGAAAUGGGUUUAAAGGCAGAUUAAGUUAGGAAGGUGUGAGGGAAAUGGGUUAAAAAGCAGAUUAAGUUAGGAAGGUGUGAGGGAAAUGGGUUUAAAGGCAGAUUAAGUUAGGAAGGUGUGAGGGAAAUGGGUUUAAAGGCAGAUUAAGUUAGGAAGGUGUGAGGGAAAUGGGUUUAAAGGCAGAUUAAGUUAGGAAGGUGUGAGGGAAAUGGGUUUAAAGGCAGAUUAAGUUAGGAAGGUGUGAGGGAAAUGGGUUUAAAGGCAGAUUAAGUUAGGAAGGUGUGAGGGAAAUGGGUUUAAAGGCAGAUUAAGUUAGGAAGGUGUGAGGGAAAUGGGUUUAAAGGCAGAUUAAGUUAGGAAGGUGUGAGGGAAAUGGGUUUAAAGGCAGAUUAAGUUAGGAAGGUGUGAGGGAAAUGGGUUUAAAGGCAGAUUAAGUUAGGAAGGUGUGAGGGAAAUGGGUUUAAAGGCAGAUUAAGUUAGGAAGGUGUGAGGGAAAUGGGUUUAAAGGCAGAUUAAGUUAGGAAGGUGUGAGGGAAAUGGGUUUAAAGGCAGAUUAAGUUAGGAAGGUGUGAGGGAAAUGGGUUUAAAGGCUCUGAAUACUCGUUUGAUUUCAACAUUCUGACAAAGGAGCAGUAGAAAAUACAAACAUUUAGGAAAAGUCAGGGAGCAGGAGGUAGGUUUAUUGGGUUGUCUGAUUCUAGUGUUAAAAGGUAAUCCCUCCACUUUUCAACCUCAUAUUCAUCCUCUCCAGCACCAAACAGAAUGUGUAUUUGUCAAAAUGACACAUUUCUAUGAUCUGUAGUUAUAAAG